AUUCAGUAUCAUUAAUAUGAGUUCAUUUAAAGCCCGAAUUGACUCUGUGUAACUUUGGUUCAAAUUCCAUUUAAAUAUGUUUUUUUUUUUGUUAUCUCUCGUGUAUUUGCUCUCAUGGAUUUGUACAAGAUGAUUUUAAGAUUAAGAUGGUUAUGAUAGCUUUCCAGACUCAUUGCUAUUCAGUUAUAUUUGUCCAAUAUGUUAUUUUUCUGGGUUAAUGUGUGAAGCAUUUACAUCUCAUAGUUUAUUUGUUCCAAGUUUAUCAGGUGCGGUUAAAGAAUCAGUCAAUGCUCAAACCUCAAAACACACACAUCGAUCAUUUGAGAACACACUAAACGUGGGAAACAUCUGCGAAAAAUGAUCAUAAAUCUUGCUUGGAAACAGGAAAAGAUGGCAAUGAAGGAUGUUCUAUUCGCGAUGAAGAUAAAGAGAAAACUGUGUUGUUUGUACACAUAUUGUAUUUUGUGUUGCUUGCAUACGAAGUGACGUUCUAGAUGGGAUGGAGUAGUGACGGUUUCUUCAUUCGGGAUGUAGAAAGUGAGGAAACUAUAGUAAUUUGUAUUUGGAUAUUUUGUAUAAUUUUGUAAUAUUUUAUGGCAUUAUAUUUCAUAAUUUUUCUUA